rnacentral:rRNA from 1 species
CUCUGCUAUANCCACUUCUCNNNNGCUCUCUAGACGCUNUUUAUGUUAACCCUAGUAAUAAGCAUAAUUUCUCCUAAUGCAAGCUGUAAAUCAGAUAGGAUAUAAACCACUGAUUAUUAACACCUAUGAACUCACAGAAGCAACCUAACAAGAAAAACCUUCUCUUCCCUAUGUUAUUCUUACACAAGAGCAUUUCUGGAAAGAUUUAAAGAGCAAGAAGGAACUCGCAAAACUUAACCCCGCCUGUUUACCAAAAACAUCGCCUCUUGACAAACCAAUAAGAGGUCCAGCCUGCCCAGUGACUCUGUUCAACGGCCGCGGUAUCCUAACCGUGCGAAGGUAGCGUAAUCACUUGUUCUUUAAAUGAGGACUAGUAUGAAUGGCAUCACGAGGGUUAAACUGUCUCCUCCCUCUAAUCAAUGAAACUAAUCUCCCCGUGAAGAAACGGGGAUAAAUAUAUAAGACGAGAAGACCCUAUGGAGCUUUAAACACACAACAAUUGCCCCACCCCACUAAAAAUCUCCGGAAAACCACUUACCUGGGCGCUUUGAUUGCAAGUUUUAGGUUGGGGUGACCGCGGAGCAAAAAACAACCUCCACAGCGAAUGGAACUUUUUCCUAAACCAAGAGCUACAGCCCUAAGAAUCAAUAAAUUGACACCCGAUUGACCCAAUAGUUUUGACCAACGAACGNAGUUACCCU